AGAACUAUGUGUAAAAUAUGACCAUAUACAUGCAGGCAGCAGAGCAUCUAGUUUAGCAUCUGGGCCCAAAUCUGUCUCAGUCUACAGUGUGUGUUACAGAACAGGGGCAAACCAUGCACAUGUUUGCUUCUCUGUGCCUUGUCUACUCCAGAUAGGAGUUCCACUUUUAGGUGAGUAGAAGAAUCUGAUCACUUCUUCUCUACUACAGCCUUUCAGGGACUUGAAUUUUAUUCUUCUGUACCUUCCUUGCUUUUCCCGGUCAGUUAUAAGAUAUAGAUGUCCACACAGAAAUAGUUACAUUGCCAGACCUCUUUAAGUAUGGGGCAUCAAGCAAAAGAGAAAAGCAGUGAAACAAAAAUUGGUUUGUUGCGGAGGUCAACAAGAUGGGAUGAUUUUUCUUAGACCAAGACCAAAACAGAAGAGACACGGUUCAUAAACUAAGAAAUGAAGAGGGGUAUAUUGCCAAUAAGUUUACAGAAAUUUAAAAGAUUAUAAAGGAAUACUGUGAAUCAAUAUGUCAAAAGAUCCAACAAUUUAUAUGAAAUACAUACAUUGCUAGAAAAAUACAAAUUGUCACUCUCAAGAAGAAACUAAAAAUAUUAGUAGCCUAAAGCAGUCAAAAAUCAAACAAUAAUAAUAAUAAAUGUAAUCAGCAAUUUAAAACAUUACCACGAAGUCCUGACCAGAUGGUAUCCUUUGUGAAUUAUAUCAAACAUUUAAAGAAGUAAUAACAAUAUUUUUCAAACUCUACCAAAACACUUGCCAACACAUUUACACUUGCCAACUCAUUUUCUCUCUCUCUCUCUCUCUUUUCUUUCUUUCUUUCUUUCUUUCUUUCUUUCUUUCUUUCUUUCUUUCUUUCUUUCUUUCUUUCUUUCGACAGGCAGAGUUAGUGAGAGAGAGCGAGACAGAGAGAAAAGUCUUCCUUCCAUUGGUUCACUGCCCUAAUGGCCACUACAGCUGGCGCUGCGCUGAUCCGAAGCCAGGAGCCAGGUGCUUCCUCCUGGUCUCCUAUGCAGGUGCAGGGACCCAAGCACUUGGGCCAUCCUCCACUGCACUCCCAGGCCACAGCAGAGAGCUGGACUGGAGGAGGAGCAACCAGGACUACAACCCUGGGUACCGGCGCCGCAGGUGGAGGAUUAGCCUACUGAGCCAUGGCGGCGCCAGCUUAAUACUUAAAAAACAAUGAGUUCAAAUGAAUUGUAUUGAUAUCCUAAAAGUCGACAAUAGCAGGUAACUGGAUCACAAGCAGAGGAGCUGGGCCUCAAACUGGCGGUCCAAUACACGAUGCAGGCCCCCUAGCUGUGGCUUACCCUACUGCACCGCAACACUGGCCCCAACAGAUUCACUUUAACAUACCAUGCUGAUUGAGAAGAAAAAUUGCAUUCUUAGCAAAAAAAAACCUCAGCAAGAGACCUGGAAACAUCACCUCAGCAUCGUCCCCCUGCAGGCUGUGCUCUGGCCUCCCUGGCCUGGAGGUAAAGGGGAAGAUGAUCAAGCUCGCCACUCACUGUACUUUGCCCAAGGCCAUGGCCACAGAUUCCAGAGCCGACCACGGGGAAGUGCAGGGCCCCCUGCAUCCAGUUCCAGCAGGUCCGCCAACUCCGCCUCCCCUUCUCCAGACACCAAACUUCUGAGCCGUCCGGCUUCCUUUUCACAGACGGGCAGAGGCUGAACACCCUGGCCCCCUGGGCGGCAGAGCCUGACUACCACUGUGACGCGAAGAGCCCGCGUGUUUACGUAAUACUGCGCGGGCGCACCUGAUUGGAUUGUUUGCAAAGCCGGAGGGGGAGCCUUCGACGUCACAAAGGUGUAGCCAAUCAGAGGAGGGCGGUGACUUGGGGUGUGCAGUGUGGGGGUUGUGAGGGGAGAAGCUUGGGCUGUGGUCUGAAGCUGCCUCCUCCCCCUUUCUGUCUUCCCCUGCAGCCCAGGCCGCUGCACCUCUGUUCCCACAGGGAUCCGUGAGCUGGAGCCUGCAAUGACCUGCUGCAGGCGAGUCUCUAUUUGCUGACUGUGACUCCUGGGCCCUUGUCUUUCUUCACAUUCCUGGGUCAUUCUUCUGUAUGGUCAUUUACGUUCUAUAAAUUGAUUUGAAGAGUGCGUAAAGUUCUGGAGAAUAAGCCAGCAUCGCAACUUUGGGAGCGCUCAGACAGCCCUCACAGAGAAAUCCACAUAGUGCACAACUGAGGCCGACUGCUAACAACCAGCACUGUGUUUCUAGGCACGCGAGUGAGUGUACUGGACGUGAAUCUGCCAGCCUCAGCCAUACCUUCAGAUGACUGCAGCCCAGCCAACAGCUCGAUGCAGCUGCUUGUGGAAACCAGAUGGUGCGGCAGAGGACAGCGGUGCAGCCAACGGGCACCUGUGGCACACGGUCAUCAUGGGGAGCAGGAGCAGCGCAUCGACCUGCACAUGAUCCGGCCGCACAUGAAGGUUACCACAGCGAGGGCCUCAACGCCAUCAUCGUCUAUGCCGCCAGCUUCCUCCAGGACAGCAGCUGCCCGGACUACCACUAAGUCCUGGAGAACCUCUUCCUAUCCCAGGCUGGCUUUAUGUGGAGAAUGAUGCCUUGUAUACAGGAAGCACUUCAGAAUGUGGCAAGUGAGAACAUUUUUACAAUUUGUUUAUGAAUUCCAGAAAUGAGAUGG